UACGGGGAUGCAAGCGUUAUCCGGAUUUAUUGGGUUUAAAGGGUGCGUAGGCGGGCUAUUAAGUCAGUGGUGAAAUCCUGCAGCUUAACUGCUGAACUGCCGUUGAUACUGAUAGUCUUGAGUUUGGUUAAGGUAGGCGGAAUGUGUAAUGUAGCGGUGAAAUGCUUAGAUAUUACACAGAACACCAAUUGCGUAGGCAGCUUACUGAGCCGACACUGACGCUGAGGCACGAAAGCGUGGGGAUCAAACAGGAUUAGA
rnacentral:rRNA from 1 species